ACCAAAAGUCAAUCCCCCAUAGUAAAAGCCCCCCUAAUAAACGGUCUCAUUUAUUUGCAUCCACCGUAUCAUGUGACAUAAUAUUUCUUUAUUUUCUUCUAACGAAAAUAAAAAUAAAAAAUCAUCCGCAACACAUACAUAUAUAGAUAUUAUUUUAUACAGAGACAGCGAUGAGAAAGUGAAAUGUCAAAUGAAAAACGUUAAUUGUUUUUUCUUAUGAUUUAAACUAAAAAAAAAACAAGGAUUUGGAUAACAUGUCAAAGCUGAAAGUUUCUCAUUGGUUUGCGCUGAAUCUUCCAUUGAGUUCUCUGACUUAAAUCGCCGCCGUUUUGUUUGAACUUAAAACAUUACAUACCCUUUUUGCUUCCUAACUAGUAUUCUUUAUCAACAGAAGAAACGUGCUGCCAUUAAUCAUCCUUCGUUAAUCGAAAUUAUUUCAUUGUUUUCUUUGAUAAAGAACUUUUUUUUGGGCAAAUCUGUUUGUUAGUUUUUCUUUCUGUGAGUGUGUGACAUUGUCUCUCGUAUGCAUUUCUUG